GUUUAAACUCCUCUGAAAUACACAGUUACUCAAUAACAAACAGUACUUUUAAUGAGACUGUUAAGUAUGGACCUGGUUUUGUAAGAACAAGGGUUAUACUUAAUGCGCCAGUUGGAUUAUCAGCUUUUCCAUUUUUUGGAUAGAUAGAAAUAAAAGGUCUCUCAACUUCAGCUGCUUCAUUUUAUUUUGAGAUCAUGUAAUAUUUGAAAGUAGAUUUAUAUUUCAAGAUAGUUAUCAAAUAAAGUGUUUUUGCUGA